rnacentral:rRNA from 1 species
AGAGUUUGAUCCUGGCUCAGGACGAACGCUGGCGGCGUGCCUAACACAUGCAAGUCGAACGGAGAAUUUUAUUUCGGUAGAAUUCUUAGUGGCGAACGGGUGAGUAACGCGUAGGCAACCUGCCCUUUAGACGGGGACAACAUUCCGAAAGGAGUGCUAAUACCGGAUGUGAUCAUCGUGCCGCAUGGCAGGAUGAAGAAAGAUGGCCUCUACAAGUAAGCUAUCGCUAAAGGAUGGGCCUGCGUCUGAUUAGCUAGUUGGUAGUGUAACGGACUACCAAGGCGAUGAUCAGUAGCCGGUCUGAGAGGAUGAACGGCCACAUUGGGACUGAGACACGGCCCAAACUCCUACGGGAGGCAGCAGUGGGGAAUCUUCCGCAAUGGACGAAAGUCUGACGGAGCAACGCCGCGUGAGUGAUGAAGGUCUUCGGAUUGUAAAACUCUGUUGUUAGGGACGAAAGCACCGUGUUCGAACAGGUCAUGGUGUUGACGGUACCUAACGAGGAAGCCACGGCUAACUACGUGCCAGCAGCCGCGGUAAUACGUAGGUGGCGAGCGUUGUCCGGAAUUAUUGGGCGUAAAGAGCAUGUAGGCGGCUUAAUAAGUCGAGCGUGAAAAUGCGGGGCUCAACCCCGUAUGGCGCUGGAAACUGUUAGGCUUGAGUGCAGGAGAGGAAAGGGGAAUUCCCAGUGUAGCGGUGAAAUGCGUAGAUAUUGGGAGGAACACCAGUGGCGAAGGCGCCUUUCUGGACUGUGUCUGACGCUGAGAUGCGAAAGCCAGGGUAGCGAACGGGAUUAGAUACCCCGGUAGUCCUGGCCGUAAACGAUGGGUACUAGGU